CUGUUCAACGGCCGCGGUAUCCUAACCGUGCGAAGGUAGCGUAAUCACUUGUUCUUUAAAUGAGGACUAGUAUGAAUGGCACCACGAAGGUUAUACUGUCUCCUUUUUCUAAUCAGUGAAACUAAUCUUCCCGUGAAGAAGCGGGAAUAAAAAUAUAAGACGAGAAGACCCUAUGGAGCUUUAAACAAACAUACAAUUGCCUUCUUUUUAGAUAUUUCAGAAGAAAACCUUUAUUUAGGCAUUUUGAUAUAGAGUUUUAGGUUGGGGUGACCACGGAGUAGAAAACAACCUCCGCAAUGAAAGGGGCUCUUCCCCUAAGCUAAGGGCUACAACCCUAAGAAUCAAAAAAUUGACACCAAUUGACCCAAUAUACUUGAUCAAUGAACCAAGUUACC
rnacentral:rRNA from 1 species